UAAAACAUUAGACUGCACAACUACCCAACU
rnacentral:piRNA from 1 species